AAACAACUAUUUAAAAUGAUCUUUAUCACAUUAGGAAUUUGUCUUUGAGGCUUUCAAAGCUGCUGGGAUUUUUACUAAAAUUAAAAAUUUUACUGGAAGGUUAAUAGAAGUGCUGAGAUGACUUUAACAAUAUUCUCAAUGUCAUGUAUCAAACUCCCUGAAAAAUUUUGAAUCAGAAAGCAGCUUAAAGCAUUAACUCAUGUCCAGACCCACAGUCCCCGCCCCUUAGCUUGAUGCUCCAGGAAGUUGCCAGACUUCGUUUGUCGCAACAGCCUUGCUUAGGCUUUGGACAUGAACUAGUAAAGCUUAGAAACAGAGAGCAUUCUGAGUGCUCUGUUAUAGAAAAGUGAAGUGAAGUAUUUGUUGUAUGAAAUAUUUGUACGAUAAAUAAAGUAGAUCAACGAUUGCAGCAAGUGUUGAGGAUAAAAACCAGCGUGUGUCCAGAGGAGUUGACGUGUCUCUUACCCUUUCCACAGGUAGAUGGUUCCCUGACAGCGGCACGUUCCCUGGUACUGAGUGGUUACACUGAACACAACCUCAUUAGGACCGUCCUGCAGCUGCAGAGACAUCUGCGUGACACGCCUCCUGAUGCAAGCGCGCCCUCUGAUUGGAUGGUGGAGGAAUGCUGGGUGUCUGCUCUGUUGUCUUCAUCACUUGAGGAAGACUCCUCCUUAUAUCUGUUGUUCAGAGUGAGAGGUGGAUGUUAAUGGACUGGAGAAACACAGCCAUGUUUCACAUUACUUGGCUGUGACAGUCCUAACCAGGAAUAUCUCUUACCUUUGGCAGAGGUUUCUGAAAAGCCUGCAUAGCCAGCAUAAGUGGAGCUGCAGUACUCCAGUUAUAGUACCUGAGGGACAGAAUCAAGAAUAUUUAUAGUGAUUCCUUGAAAAGAAAAAGUCAAACAGAAACAUUUAAGUCAAGUCCAGUGGUCACGACUUACUUGGAACCGAUUUUUACAACCAAGUUGGGAUCGUCGAUGAUGGAGGGAUUCUCUGAAAACUGCUGUAAGUCCACCACACAGAGAGAUGGCGAUGGACGGCAGUUCAGACAUGUGAUCACAGAAGGUGUCCACUCCACUGUCUCCCCCCGAGCUGACUGACUGUGGGGACAAACUUGUGCUGUGGAGACCCGGGUCUGACAUGCUCCUCACGGCUGCUCCUCCAUCACUACAGAUAAGAGGCGUUUGAAAGAAUCAGCAAACAGUGACUUUUCCUUCACAAAGAAUGCCUCUCCAUUGUCUCCAAGCUUCAUGUGCAGAGCCACUGCUUCUCCAUUGAUCAUAAUGUCCACCUGAAGAAACAGUUUCUCUCUGGAUCUGAGGACGCCCAUCUUGCCGAAGCGAACAUGAAAAGGCGAGCAUUGCAGGGAGCCAUCAGGCUGCCUGACUACAAUUACGUCAAUGCAGCCUGAGAGGGUGGCGGGAUUGAGGCCUCGAUACAACUCUUUGACCUGGACAAAGACCUGGCCCGCCAACUGGCCCACGUAGUUCAUGGUCUGACGGGUCUGUUAGAGGGAGACAUGAAAGUGGAAGAACAAUUAAACAAAUGGCAGCUCAUCUUACUAGGAUUUUGCAAGAUAUCUUAGGCCUUGAUGUGUUUGUUUGUACUAGUUUAAAAUGUGUCUGACAUGUUUAUUACAUUAAGUAAAAAAGGAAAUAUACAUGUUUGUCAUGAAAUAAUCUUUAGUCUUGGCCUCAUUUUAACUGAGAACUGGAACAUUUAAGUUUGCAUACCGUUGUCUAUUCAGACCAGAUGCUUGUACGAACCUAAUCUUGGAAUGUACAUAUUUUUGUACUGAUUUAGUUUUUUUCAUGUCAAAUAUUUGCCCCUAUAUUUCACAUUUUUCAGUUUUGGUUCCAGACAUUCAGGAGAUUUAAAAUUCACUUUACCCAA